AUGACACACAUACUUAUUUUAACCCAAAACAUGAUCUUUUGCUAAACAUAACCAAGUAGUUGUUGUGCCUAAACAUA